rnacentral:rRNA from 1 species
GACGAACGCUGGCGGCGUGCUUAACACAUGCAAGUCGAACGGAAAGUCCCUGUUUUUCUGGGGUGCUCUAGUUGCGACCUGGUGAUUUACCCUUCUCUACCCUGCCCUUCACUUUGGCUUAACUUCAUACAACUUGGGCUCUUUCCGGAUAAGAGCUCCUGCUGCAUGGUGGGCGUUCGAUAGUUUCGGCGGUUGGGGAUGGACUCGCGGCUUAUCAGCUUGUUGCUGGGGUAGUGGCUUACCAAGGCCUUGAACGGUAGCCGUCCUGAGAGGAGAAGAGGCCACAUUGGGACUGAGAUACGGCCCAGACUAGUACGGGAGGCAGCAGUGGAGAAGAUUGCACAAGGGACGGGAGCCAGAUGCAGCAAAGCCGCGUGCGGGAUGACGGCCUGCGGGUUGUAAACCGCUGUCGCCUGUGACGAAGAGUGAGUGACGGUAAUAGGUAAAGAAGCACCGGCUAACUACGUG